GCUUGAAUGGUCUAGUUGGUUAUGACCUCUGCCUCACACGCAGAAAAUCCCGAGUUCAACCCACAGUUCGAGUA
rnacentral:tRNA from 1 species